GGAGGCCAUUUCAGUAAUCAAGCUGGUGAUUAGUGUUGUCACAUUUAGCAAAUAAAAAUAUAGGACAUCCAGUUAAAGUUAAAUUUCAGGUAAACUACACACACAAACACACACACACACACACACACACACACACACACAUUUAUUUAUUUAGUACAAGUGUGUUCCAUGCAAUAUUUGGGAAAUUCAAAUUUAACUGGAUAUCCUAUAUUUUAUCUGGUAAACCUAUAGUGGAAGGAAUGAGAAGUGGACCGAUUCUGGAUGUUUUGAAGGAAUUAACCAUAGUAUUUCCUGACAGAUUGAAUGUGAGAAGAGAGUCAAGAGGACUCUUAGAUUUUUGGCCCAUGCAACCAGAAAGAUGUAGUUGCCAUUAACUGGAAUAGGAAGACUAAGAUGGAAAAUGUUUUGGGGAAAGAAGAUGAUCUUGGUUUUGGACAUGUUGAGUUUAAGCUGGAAUACCUCUAUAAAGAAGAACUUUCUUACCAUCUCUAUGUUGGUUAUUUUGAGGUAUAUCUAUUCUAGAAAGGAUUAACCAUAAGAAAUGAAUUUUAAUGUCUGGAAUAUCAAAGAGAUGCUCAGUAUUCCCUCAGGCUCUGGUUUUGGAGAUUGGAAGUCCUAGAAUCAUAUGCCAGCUGGAUCAUUUCUGGACCACUAAGUCAUCUAGCUGGAAUAAUAAUCAGGCUGAUUACUCCAGUCUCAGUGACUCCCAGUUCCUCUUUGGAUCCCAGUUCUGUCCAGAAAGUUCAGAGACUCUGUCAGCACCCUUGGAUGGUGUCCACGUGAGACAUCCAAAACAAUCACAACAGAAUUCUCUGGACAGUGAACCUGGUAUUUUCACAAAGUACCAGACAAAACCCCCGCUGUUUGGAGCAGAUGCAAAUGAUAGAGGCUUAUUUCCUCCACCUUUGUCAGUUGGAAAAGCAAAGGGCCUGUUGGAACAGUUUGAAGAGAAAAAGAAAAGGACAAAAGACAAAUGUGACAGUGAGACUCUAUACAACCUCAUUUCACAUAUCAGAGAAAGCAUUCACAGGUUGCAGACAUCUGUGGAAAAGUCUGAGGAACAUCUCAGCUCAAGAAGCCAAUCUAUUUUGGAUGGUUUGGAGACUCUGGCCAAGACCUUGCAAGAGACCGUGCGGGCCCAGAGUGAUCUGGUGUUGGAAACGGUGCAUGACAAAGGCAACAUGGAGCAGGUCAUCUUUGAGAUACAGAAAAGAUUUGAAGCUAGACAAGCAGAGUUUAUAGAAAUGAGAUCCGACCUGAAGCACCUUGAAGCUUUAGUGGCCCAGCAGAGUAAGGACUUCCAGCAGCUGUGUGAGCAGCUAGGCCAGCUAAAUGUGGCCAGUGUCCUGGCAGAGCUGAAGAGAUUGAUUUCAGACCCUCGGGUAGCCGGGCAUGUGAAAGACAGCACUUCCCAGACCUCACCACCUCUGGCCCAGAGCCUCCAUUUCACCAGGCAGGGCAGGUACGCUUCUGAGGAGGCAGGUCUGUGGCCGGCGCAGGCCCCCCCUGCUGUACGGACUCGGAGUAUGGGCUCCCUGGAGCCUGGAGAGUUUGGUGUCUGUGGUGAGAGAGCAGAAAGCGGCGCUCUUCAAGAAGAGGCUAUGCGGCAGGCAGCUGGAACCAGCAGAAGAAACAGGCGAGUCAAGGACAGGGCUGUGCAGACCAACCGCAGGAACUGGACCGGUCCUAAAACCAGCUCUGAGAACCAUGGCGCCGGCUCCCCAGGCCCCCAAGUUCCUGGUGGUAAGGACUGGGUUUCUCAGGGAGCCUCAAGGCUUCUACCCCUGGACUCAAACAAAUUUGCAGCCAGCAUUAAGAACACCUGCCCAAAAUGUCAAGCUGAAGGUGUGUCUCCAUGUGAUCCUCGUGAACAGAGGCUGGUGACUGCACAGAAAAGCAGACCUGUGGAAAGAGGGAGGAAAGGCAAAAAGCAGGCGCCCAGGAAGUCCCAGAGAGGCAGGCUCCGAGCCAGGAAGCAAGAACAAGCCCCUAGCAAAACCUGUGCUGUCAUUCCUAAAUACCCUCAGCCGCCAGUUUCUGGCCCACAAAGCCCCCCGCUGGAGCAGCAGAAACCCCGUGCUCAACCCCUGCAUCUGUGGGGCCCCAACAGCCGCACAAAGCCAGUCAGCGCUAUUCUGGGAGGAAGAGUCAUGCGCAGUAAGGCAGUGAGGGCAGCGCAAGGAGACCUCUUAGAACUCAGUGGGCUUUCUUCCCAAGACAACAGCCUGCUUGCGACCAGUUCCCAGGGGGACCACCAGAUGAGCUGGUUCAGCGACCUCAACCUCAGAAGUUCAGACCCCCCUGUGUGCAAGGAGCCAGGGAAGAGUAUGCUCUAUGAUCUGGGUUUUGAUAGCAGUGAUGAUGGCUUCUGACCCGCCCACAAAAUUCUUCAGCUGGUAGUUGAUGGGUGGCAGCUGGAAAGACACACGAUCCCACACUGAGGCCCGCGAACAGCAGGAAGUCCCUGCCGGCGGCAGCGCGCAGGCUCAGAGGCCCUGCUGGGAGAAACAGAGACUGUUACGCUGCCAGUGGAAGAGAGGUGACCUGCACCCAACAAAUGCCCAGAGGGGCGCUGUACACCAGCCACACAGUCCCAGUUUUCUUCUUGGCUUUUUCCCCCAUCCUGUUUUCAGCCAUUCUUCAAGCAAAUGAGAGCAUCUAAGGGUCCAGCAAUAUUUCUGGAGAGCAUUGGGCUUAUAUGAGACUUUGGCUUUCUUAUACAGAGAGUUUUGAAUUUUUGUUAUACAUAUAUAUUUCUUUUGUAAUAAAAAAUAAAACAUAUAA